CUGUGAGCUCGAUGAGUAGGGCGGGACACGUGGUAUCCUGUCUGAAUAUGGGGGGACCAUCCUCCAAGGCUAAAUACUCCUGACUGACCGAUAGUGAACCAGUACCGUGAGGGAAAGGCGAAAAGAACCCCGGCGAGGGGAGUGAAAAAGAACCUGAAACCGUGUACGUACAAGCAGUGGGAGCACAGAGCAAUCUGUGUGACUGCGUACCUUUUGUAUAAUGGGUCAGCGACUUAUAUUCUGUAGCAAGGUUAACCGAAUAGGGGAGCCGAAGGGAAACCGAGUCUUAACUGGGCGUUAAGUUGCAGGGUAUAGACCCGAAACCCGGUGAUCUAGCCAUGGGCAGGUUGAAGGUUGGGUAACACUAACUGGAGGACCGAACCGACUAAUGUUGAAAAAUUAGCGGAUGACUUGUGGCUGGGGGUGAAAGGCCAAUCAAACCGGGAGAUAGCUGGUUCUCCCCGAAAGCUAUUUAGGUAGCGCCUCGUGAAUUCAUCUCCGGGGGUAGAGCACUGUUUCGGCAAGGGGGUCAUCCCGACUUACCAACCCGAUGCAAACUGCGAAUACCGGAGAAUGUUAUCACGGGAGACACACGGCGGGUGCUAACGUCCGUCGUGAAGAGGGAAACAACCCAGACCGCCAGCUAAGGUCCCAAAGUCAUGGUUAAGUGGGAAACGAUGUGGGAAGGCCCAGACAGCCAGGAUGUUGGCUUAGAAGCAGCCAUCAUUUAAAGAAAGCGUAAUAGCUCACUGGUCGAGUCGGCCUGCGCGGAAGAUGUAACGGGGCUAAACCAUGCACCGAAGCUGCGGCAGCGACGCUUAUGCGUUGUUGGGUAGGGGAGCGUUCUGUAAGCCUGCGAAGGUGUGCUGUGAGGCAUGCUGGAGGUAUCAGAAGUGCGAAUGCUGACAUAAGUAACGAUAAAGCGGGUGAAAAGCCCGCUCGCCGGAAGACCAAGGGUUCCUGUCCAACGUUAAUCGGGGCAGGGUGAGUCGACCCCUAAGGCGAGGCCGAAAGGCGUAGUCGAUGGGAAACAGGUUAAUAUUCCUGUACUUGGUGUUACUGCGAAGGGGGGACGGAGAAGGCUAUGUUGGCCGGGCGACGGUUGUCCCGGUUUAAGCGUGUAGGCUGGUUUUCCAGGCAAAUCCGGAAAAUCAAGGCUGAGGCGUGAUGACGAGGCACUACGGUGCUGAAGCAACAAAUGCCCUGCUUCCAGGAAAAGCCUCUAAGCAUCAGGUAACAUCAAAUCGUACCCCAAACCGACACAGGUGGUCAGGUAGAGAAUACCAAGGCGCUUGAGAGAACUCGGGUGAAGGAACUAGGCAAAAUGGUGCCGUAACUUCGGGAGAAGGCACGCUGAUAUGUAGGUGAAGUCCCUCGCGGAUGGAGCUGAAAUCAGUCGAAGAUACCAGCUGGCUGCAACUGUUUAUUAAAAACACAGCACUGUGCAAACACGAAAGUGGACGUAUACGGUGUGACGCCUGCCCGGUGCCGGAAGGUUAAUUGAUGGGGUCAGCGCAAGCGAAGCUCUUGAUCGAAGCCCCGGUAAACGGCGGCCGUAACUAUAACGGUCCUAAGGUAGCGAAAUUCCUUGUCGGGUAAGUUCCGACCUGCACGAAUGGCGUAAUGAUGGCCAGGCUGUCUCCACCCGAGACUCAGUGAAAUUGAACUCGCUGUGAAGAUGCAGUGUACCCGCGGCAAGACGGAAAGACCCCGUGAACCUUUACUAUAGCUUGACACUGAACAUUGAGCCUUGAUGUGUAGGAUAGGUGGGAGGCUUUGAAGUGUGGACGCCAGUCUGCAUGGAGCCGACCUUGAAAUACCACCCUUUAAUGUUUGAUGUUCUAACGUUGACCCGUGAUCCGGGUUGCGGACAGUGUCUGGUGGGUAGUUUGACUGGGGCGGUCUCCUCCUAAAGAGUAACGGAGGAGCACGAAGGUUGGCUAAUCCUGGUCGGACAUCAGGAGGUUAGUGCAAUGGCAUAAGCCAGCUUGACUGCGAGCGUGACGGCGCGAGCAGGUGCGAAAGCAGGUCAUAGUGAUCCGGUGGUUCUGAAUGGAAGGGCCAUCGCUCAACGGAUAAAAGGUACUCCGGGGAUAACAGGCUGAUACCGCCCAAGAGUUCAUAUCGACGGCGGUGUUUGGCACCUCGAUGUCGGCUCAUCACAUCCUGGGGCUGAAGUAGGUCCCAAGGGUAUGGCUGUUCGCCAUUUAAAGUGGUACGCGAGCUGGGUUUAGAACGUCGUGAGACAGUUCGGUCCCUAUCUGCCGUGGGCGCUGGAGAACUGAGGGGGGCUGCUCCUAGUACGAGAGGACCGGAGUGGACGCAUCACUGGUGUUCGGGUUGUCAUGCCAAUGGCACUGCCCGGUAGCUAAAUGCGGAAGAGAUAAGUGCUGAAAGCAUCUAAGCACGAAACUUGCCCCGAGAUGAGUUCUCCCUGACUCCUUGAGAGUCCUGAAGGAACGUUGAAGACGACGACGUUGAUAGGCCGGGUGUGUAAGCGCAGCGAUGCGUUGAGCUAACCGGUACUAAUGAACCGUGAGGCUUAACCUUACAACGCCGAAGGUGUUU
rnacentral:rRNA from 1 species